rnacentral:rRNA from 1 species
CCUACGGGAGGCAGCAGUCGAGAAUUAUUCACAAUGGGGGAAACCCUGAUGGUGCGACGCCGCGUGGGGGAAUGAAGGUCUUCGGAUUGUAAACCCCUGUCAUGUGGGAGCAAAUUAAAAAGAUAGUACCACAAGAGGAAGAGACGGCUAACUCUGUGCCAGCAGCCGCGGUAAUACAGAGGUCUCAAGCGUUGUUCGGAAUCACUGGGCGUAAAGCGUGCGUAGGCUGUUUCGUAAGUCGUGUGUGAAAGGCGCGGGCUCAACCCGCGGACGGCACAUGAUACUGCGAGACUAGAGUAAGGGAGGGGGAACUGGAAUUCUCGGUGUAGCAGUGAAAUGCGUAGAUAUCGAGAGGAACACUCGUGGCGAAGGCGGGUUCCUGGACAUUAACUGACGCUGAGGCACGAAGGCCAGGGGAGCGAAAGGGAUUAGAUACCCUAGUAGUC